rnacentral:rRNA from 1 species
GAUGAACGCUGGCGGCGUGCCUAAUACAUGCAAGUCGAGCGAACAGACGAGGAGCUUGCUCCUCUGACGUUAGCGGCGGACGGGUGAGUAACACGUGGAUAACCUACCUAUAAGACUGGGAUAACUUCGGGAAACCGGAGCUAAUACCGGAUAAUAUAUUGAACCGCAUGGUUCAAUAGUGAAAGACGGUUUUGCUGUCACUUAUAGAUGGAUCCGCGCCGCAUUAGCUAGUUGGUAAGGUAACGGCUUACCAAGGCAACGAUGCGUAGCCGACCUGAGAGGGUGAUCGGCCACCCUGGGACUGAGACACGGUCCCAGCUCCUACGGGAGGCAGCCGUAGGGAAUCUUCCGCGAUGGGCGGAAGCCUGAAAGAGGAACGCCGGGUGAGUGAUGAAGGUCUUCGGAUCGUAAAACUCUGUUAUUAGGGAAGAACAAAUGUGUAAGUGACUAUGCACGUCUUGACGGUACCUAAUCAGAAAGCCACGGCUAACUACGUG